rnacentral:rRNA from 1 species
GACGAACGCUGGCGGCGUGCCUAAUACAUGCAAGUUGAGCGCUGAAGGUUGGUACUUGUACCAACUGGAUGAGCAGCGAACGGGUGAGUAACGCGUGGGGAAUCUGCCUUUGAGCGGGGGACAACAUCUGGAAACGAAUGCUAAUACCGCAUAAAAACUUUAAACACAAGUUUUAAGUUUGAAAGAUGCAAUUGCAUCACUCAAAGAUGAUCCCGCGUUGUAUUAGCUAGUUGGUGGGGUAAAGGCUCACCAAGGCGAUGAUACAUAGCCGACCUGAGAGGGUGAUCGGCCACAUUGGGACUGAGACACGGCCCAAACUCCUACGGGAGGCAGCAGUAGGGAAUCUUCGGCAAUGGACGAAAGUCUGACCGAGCAACGCCGCGUGAGUGAAGAAGGUUUUCGGAUCGUAAAACUCUGUUGGUAGAGAAGAACGUUGGUGAGAGUGGAAAGCUCAUCAAGUGACGGUAACUACCCAGAAAGGGACGGCUAACUACGUG